GACUCUGUAGCUCAGUUGGUUAGAGUACUGCACCGGAAUAACAUGGCCGCAGCUUCGAUUUCUGCCAGAGGGC